UACGUAGGGUGCGAGCGUUGUCCGGAAUUAUUGGGCGUAAAGAGCUUGUAGGCGGUUUGUCGCGUCUGCCGUGAAAAUCCGGGGCUCAACCCCGGACUUGCGGUGGGUACGGGCAGACUAGAGUGUGGUAGAGGAGACUGGAAUUCCCGGUGUAGAGGUGAAAUUCGUAGAUAUCGGGAGGAACACCAGUGGCGAAGGCGGCGAUCUGGGAAGAUACUGACGCUGAGGUGCGAAAGCGUGGGGAGCAAACAGG
rnacentral:rRNA from 1 species